rnacentral:rRNA from 1 species
AUGGAUGAGUCUUUUCUGCUUGAGAACCGUGAUGUGUUGAGAGCCAUGGCCGAAUGUGGCAUUAUGCUGAACUACAGCCGCGACCUGUUUAUGUUUCUAUAUAUUCUUCUCAUCAUAGCAUCGACACUUACUUCGUUUAAGAAGCACCAGGAGGUAUCUGCAUUUUCUGGAAACUCCACACUCUAUCUUAAUCGCCACCAAACUGAGGAAUGGAGAGGUUGGAUGCAGGUCUUAUUUCUGAUGUACCACUAUUUCGGUGCAUCAGAAAUAUACAAUGCAAUUCGUGUUUUCAUUGCUUGCUAUGUUUGGUUGACUGGGUUUGGGAAUUUCUCAUACUACUAUACCAAGAAAGAUUUUAGCAUUGCCAGAUUUGCUCAGAUAAUGUGGAGGCUAAAUUUCUUUGUUGCCUUAUGUUGCAUUGUCCUUGACAAUGAUUUUAUGGUGUAUUAUAUCUGCCCAAUGCACACCCUAUUUACACUCAUGGUGUAUGGGACACUUGGUCUGUUUAACAAGUAUAAUGAGAUACCAUCACUUAUGGCUAUCAAAAUUGCUUGCUCCUUCUUGAGUGUCAUUUUGAUAUGGGAAGUUCCUGGGGUAUUCAAUGUUUUGUGGAGCCCCUUUACGUUUUUUCUUGGCUAUAAACACCCAAAUCCUUCCAAGUCACACUUACCAUUGUUGCACGAGUGGCAUUUUCGAUCUGGGCUUGAUCGAUACAUAUGGAUUAUUGGAAUGAUUUAUGCUUAUUUCCACCCUAAUGCGGGCUAUCUAUGGUAUGAAUAUAUCUAUAAGCUAGACAAAAUUACGUACAACAAGUACCAUCCCUACACGUCAUGGAUUCCUAUCACCGUGUAUAUUUGUCUGCGCAAUUGCACCCAACAGUUGAGGGGCGCCUCUCUAGCUCUUUUCACUUGGCUUGGCAAGAUCACGCUCGAGACUUUCAUUUCUCAGUUCCACAUCUGGCUCAGGUCUAGCGUACCAAAUGGGCAGCCCAAAUGGCUUCUAUCUUUCAUACCUGAUUACCCAAUGCUUAACUUCAUGCUUACUACAUCAAUCUAUAUUUUUCUAUCAUACCGAGUAUUUGAGCUGACAAAAGUACUGAAGGGAGCCUUUAUUCCCAAUAGAGACAACAAUCGCAUGUGUCAAAAUUUUAUUUUUGGGAUUGUCAUUUCUUUAUGUUUGUAUUGUUGCUCACUUAUUCUUCUGAAAAUUCCAGUUCUAUAG